rnacentral:rRNA from 1 species
UACGUAGGGUGCGAGCGUUGUCCGGAAUUAUUGGGCGUAAAGAGCUCGUAGGCGGUUUGUUGCGUCUAUCGUGAAAACCUGCGGCUUAACUGUGGGCUUGCGGUGGAUACGGGCAGACUUGAGUUCGGUAGGGGAGACUGGAAUUCCUGGUGUAGCGGUGAAAUGCGCAGAUAUCAGGAGGAACACCGGUGGCGAAGGCGGGUCUCUGGGCCGAUACUGACGCUGAGGAGCGAAAGCGUGGGGGAGCGAACAGG